rnacentral:tRNA from 1 species
GGGCCGGUAGCUCAGUCCGGUAAGCCUUUGUGGCUUGGGAACUAGAGCACACGACUUUUAAUCGUGUGGUCGCGAGUUCAAAUGAGAAACUGCGUUUAUCACCCGGAAAAAUGUGAGUUUUUCUGACUGUCUCGUCCGGCCCA